UACGGAGGAUGCAAGCGUUAUCCGGAAUGAUUGGGCGUAAAGCGUCCGCAGGUGGCUGUGUAAGUCUGCUGUUAAAUAGUGAGGCUCAACCUCAUAAAGGCAGUGGAAACUACAUGGCUAGAGUGCGUUCGGGGCAGAGGGAAUUCCUGGUGUAGCGGUGAAAUGCGUAGAGAUCAGGAAGAACACCGGUGGCGAAAGCGCUCUGCUAGGCCGCAACUGACACUGAGGGACGAAAGCUAGGGGAGCGAAUGGGAUUAGAUACCCCCGUAGUCC
rnacentral:rRNA from 1 species